AUGGGGAACAAUGAUAGAGCAGCCAUCAUUGGAAAAGGAGAUGUGCAUUUGGAGACCGCAAAUUGUACAAGGUUAGACCUCAAAUCUGUGAGGCAUGUUGAGGCACUUCGUCUCAAUAUUAUCUCGGUUGGUUUGCUUGAUGGAGAUGAUUACUUGAGCAGUUUUGGAAAAGGGCAGUACAAGCUCACCAAAGGCAACAUGAUUGUUGCAAGAGGUAAAAUGGUCUCAGUUUUGUAUCAUGUUCAUGCUAAGCUCUUUAGUGCUUCUGUCAAUGCACUAGAGAAGGAUGAUAAUUGUGCUUUAUGGCACAAGAGACUUGGGCACAUGAGUGAGAAGGGGAUGACAGUGCUAGUGAAGAAAAAAUUGUUGAAGGGUGUGAAAGGAGUUCACAUCAAGAAAUGUUCAGAUUGUCUAGUAGGGAAGCAACAUCGAGUUGGCUUCAAGACUCUACCUCCUCACAAGAAGCCCGAGAAGCUGGACUUGAUACAUUCCGAUGUUUGCAAAAUGUCGGUAAGAUCUCUUGGUGGUGCUAAGUACUUUGUGACUUUUAUUGAUGACUUUUCCAGGAAAGUUUGGGCCUUCACUUUGAGGACCAAAGAUCAAGUACUAGGUGUAUUCAAGCAAUUCCAAGCCUCGGUUGAGAGAGAAACUGAGAAGAAGAUCAAGUGCAUUCGCACUGAUAAUGGAGGAGAGUACAUUGGGCCAUUUGAUGCAUAUUGCAAGCAGCAAGGUAUUAGGCAUCAAUUUACUCCCUCGAAGACACCACAGCUGAAUGAUCUUGCUGAGAGGAUGAACAGGACAAUUGUGGAGAGAGUUAGAUGCUUGUUGUCAAGUGCAAAGCUACGUAAACACUUUGGGGUGAGGCUUUGA
rnacentral:rRNA from 1 species